UAAAAAAAAGUGUUUUUUUCGCCUCCCAUACUUCGCCAUACUUGGCCCAUAGUUCGACCAUAGUUCAAAAAUUAAAAAAAAAGUGUUUUUUUCGCCUCCCAUACUUCGCCAUACUUGGCUCAUAGUUCGCCCAUAGUUCAAAAAUUAAAAAAAAGUGUUUUUUUCGCCUCCCAUACUUCGCCAUACUUUGCCCAUAGUUCGCCCAUAGUUCAAAAAUUAAAAAAAAGUUUUUUUUUUGGGCCUCCCAUACUUCGCCAUACUUGGCCCAUAGUUCGCCCAUAGUUCAAAAAUUUAAAAAAAGUGUUUUUUUCGCCUCCCAUACUUCGCCAUACUUCGCCCAUAGUUCGAAAAUUUAAAAAAAAGUGUUUUUUUCGUCUCCCAUACUUCGCCAUACUUGGCCCAUAGUUCGCCCAUAGUUCAAAAAUUUAAAGAAAAGUGUUUAUUUCGCCUUCCAUACUUCGCCAUACUUUGCCCAUAGUUCGAAAAUUUAAAAAAAGUGUUUUUUUCGCCUCCCAUACUUCGCCAUACUUGGCCCAUAGUUCGCCCAUAGUUCAAAAAUUAAAAAAAAGUGUUUUUUUCGCCUCCCAUACUUCGCCAUACUUUGCCCAUAGUUCGCCCAUAGUUCGAAAAUUUAAAAAAAAGUGUUUUUUUCUCCUCUCAUACUUCACCAUACUUUGCCCAUAGUUCGCCCAUAGUUCGAAAAUUUAAAAAAAAGUGUUUUUUUCGCCUUCUAUACUUCGCCAUACUUGGCCCAUAGUUCGCCCAUAGUUCGAAAAUUUAAAAAAAAGUGUUUUUUUCGCCUCCCAUACUUCGCCAUACUUGGCCCAUAGUUCGCCCAUAGUUCGAAAAUUUAAAAAAAAGUGUUUUUUUCGCCUCCCAUACUUCGCCAUACUUGGCCCAUAGUUCGCCCAUAGUUCGAAAAUUUAAAAAAAAGUGUUUUUUUCGCCUCCCAUACUUCGCCAUACUUGGCCCAUAGUUCGCCCAUAGUUCGAAAAUUUAAAAAAAAGUGUUUUUUUCGCCUCCCAUACUUCGCCAUACUUUGCCCAUAGUUCGCCCAUAGUUCGAAAAUUUAAAAAAAAGUGUUUUUUUCGCCUCCCAUACUUCGCCAUACUUGGCCCAUAGUUCGCCCAUAGUUCAAAAAUUUAAAAAAAAGUGUUUUUUUCGCCUCCCAUACUUCGCCAUACUUUGCCCAUAGUUCGCCCAUAGUUCAAAAAUUAAAAAAAAGUGUUUUUUUCGCCUCCCAUACUUCGCCAUACUUUGCCCAUAGUUCGCUCAUAGUUCGCCCAUAGUUCGAAAAUUAAAAAAAAAGUGUUUAUUUCGUCUCCCAUACUUCGCCAUACUUUGCCCAUAGUUCGCCCAUAGUUCGAAAAUUUAAAAAAAAGUGUUUUUUUCGCCUCCCAUACUUCGCCAUACUUUGCCCAUAGUUC